GGAAGGCCUUCGGGGUACUCGAGCGGUUAACGGGUGAGUAACACGUGAGUAAUCUGCCCCUAGCUCUGGGAUAGCUCCGGGAAACCGGGAUUAAUACCGGAUACGACCACCUUAGACAUCUUUUGUGGUGGAACAGAAUUUCGGCUAGAGAUGAGCUCGCGGCCUAUCAGCUUGUUGGUGGGGUAACGGCCUACCAAGGCGACGACGGGUAGCCGGCCUGAGAGGGCGACCGGCCACACUGGGACUGAGACACGGCCAGACUCAUACGGGAGGCAGCAGAUGGGGAAUAUUGCGCAAAUGGGGCGAAAAGCCUGACGCAGC
rnacentral:rRNA from 1 species